UUGAACACAAUUAACUUCUAAAUUACGUAUAAAUUUCAGUAAUGCUUCAUAAAUCCCGAAACUUUUAUUUUAUUAGUUUUAUAAUAUUCCGGGAUUUAUAAAAAUAUGUUGGUGAUGUUUCCAAGAUAUUAUAAUAGCGAGAUAUUCCGAUAAUUUAGUUAAAAGCAGGUCCGAGUCUUCAGAUUAUUAUGGGCACGUGGAAGUAAAAGACUUAACCACGUACCCCUUUUUUUAGCACCGCCACCGUUUAUUCCACCACCGCCUUUGUAUAUACACAAUACUUCUUCCUUUUUAUCUCAAACAUCAGUCUCCUUCUAAUCUCUCCCCCUCUCGAAAUCUUCUCUGUGUCGACAGCCUCUCACUCGAACUGUCCCUUCUCCUAUUCUGUUAAACCUCCCCGCUGCUGAUAUGCUCCAGACAAGUCGUCGCCGCUGGUUCCGAUUCCGGCCAAACCUGUGUGGUCACCCCGCGAAUUUCUUCUUGUCCAUGCCUCCUGCUGCUUCCCGGUCGGAAGUUAUCGAUUCUUUUCUCUCCGGGUUUCUCUAUCAUUGAGUCUCCAAAACCUGCAUCAGCUGUGGCAUAUUUGUCCGACGACACAAGCUUUAUUCCACCCCUCGAGUUCAACACAGUUCGAUCGAGACGUGUAUAUCGAGACAUGUAUAUCGAGAAUGUUCAGAAUUGAUCUGAUGCUGUUGCAAGUUGAAGCAAGAAUAAUCUAAGAAGACAGACGCAGAAAGAGUAUUGUCAGAAGUUACUUCAAAAGAUAUGGUUAUGCGAUAUAGUGCUAUUAGAAUUGUGGCUAGACAUUGGAGUUCAGGCAAGUAUUUCUAUCCUUCUCUUGUAGUUAAAAGCAAGUGAUCUUUAUCUUCCUCUUGACCCUGACCUCUCUUUUAUAACAUGAUUCACUUUUAUCUUAACAUCAUUCUUGUAAAGCAUAUCUAGUAAGUUGAAUACCUCCAGUUGAAUUGAUAAUACCUUUGACCCACUAUUUAAACUUCGAUUUUCAUAAAAGAUUUUCAAACUACUAAAAGUAGUAAUUAUUUUGAUUUGCUACAAAAGAAAUUUGUUUAACAAGAAAGACCACUUGAAUUUUUGAAUUUAUCAAAUCAUGUUAAAGCUGUAGCUUUUAAAUUUAAUAUAUUGGGUAGUUUUGCGUAAGAGGCUCAGACAUCGGCCCAGCGUGAAAGGUGGCUCCUUCAGCUCGGAUUACCGAAAUUCGUAAUAUUUGUCGACCUUGCUGAAUAAGCUUGGUUUAUGGACUAUAGCAUGACUGAUCAUCUGUUAUAGCCAGGUGUCUUAUUUAAACCCAAUUAAAUAUUGAUUAGUUUCAAAGGAGAUUAUCUUAUGUUCAAAAGAUAAUGGAAGUUAUCUUUAUCUCUACAGCUUUAAAAUCAUAUAUUGGUGCAGAACUGCUUUAUCAUUGUAUACCAUUUUACUCUCUUAUACUGAACUGUUGAUUUACAUCAUCAUGUUUAAACCAGAGUUUACUUUUACUUCAAACAUUCUGAUUCACUUAAAUAUAUAUAUAUAUAUAUAUAUAUAUAUCUUGUGGCUUUCACCUAUCAUAUUCUUGCUGAGCAUUAUUGCUCAUUCUUGCUAUUACUUCUAACCCUUUUCAGCUAGGGAUAAAGAUGAUUCACUUAAGGCUAGGCAAGGAUUGCAAGUGGUUGAGUUUCAGGUAGAUGGUCAGGUAGAGUAUCCAGGACGAUGUCAUUAAGACUAGAUGCAGCUGGAAUCUGCAAUUCACUUCAGUUGGAAAAUAGAUUUGUUAUUUGGUUAUCAGCUACCCUUCUUAUCGAGGUUUAGCUGAUAAUGUCGUUCAAGCUGUAAUAAUAUUUGUAGUUUUGAUUUCUGAUUUCAAUGCUGUAACCUGUAUGCGAUCCUGUUUUCAGGGGGUUAAACUUUGUUCUUUUAAAAUCUUUUAUUAAAGCUUUUAGGUUUUAAAUUCUUUGGUUUUUAUAA